GAACUUGGGCCGCCCGUCGAAGGUGAAGAUGCCCCAGUGGCGCUCGAAGUUGCCCGGCGCCACGCUCUUGGCGUCCUCGUCCACGAGCCCGAACAGGUGAAACAACCGCAGCUUUAGCAAAGCAGAUCGUCGCUGAAGCAUUGAUUGGCGGGAGCAAUAAUGGCGGAGGUUUGGGCAGGGGGGGCUUGAGGAGGGGGAGGACAGAGGUUAGGGACGAUCGAAGGAUGGAAGAGAGGCGGCGGUUAAUGCCUGCCAGAUUGCCAGGAGUAAAUCUAUGCCAGCAAGGUGUAGACGUGUAGUGUAGACUAUCAUACUACCAGUGAAUAGCAAGCAGUAGAACAUUCUGACAGUUUUAGGACCUGUACAGACAUAAUUUGAGCAGUUCCUAUUUUGUUUGGUGGGAAGUACUGUGAUCACUUUCAUUGCCUCUGCGUUGUUGUGCCAUGCGAAACUUAUCUGAUUUACUUUAAGUCUGGUUCAUUGUCGUAGUAGGCUGUAAUUGAAACGAUUAUGGGUAUUUGAAGAAAA